AGAGUUUGAUCCUGGCUCAGAUUGAACGCUGGCGGCAUGCCUAACACAUGCAAGUCGAACGGUAACGAUGGGAGCUUGCUCCCAGGCGACGAGUGGCGGACGGGUGAGUAACGCGUGGAAAUCUACCUAGUAGUGGGGGACAACCCGAGGAAACUCGGGCUAAUACCGCAUAAGCCCCAAGGGGGAAAGGCUUCGGCCGCUAUUAGAUGAGUCCGCGUCCGAUUAGCUUGUUGGUAGGGUAAUGGCCUACCAAGGCAACGAUCGGUAGCUGGUCUGAGAGGACGAUCAGCCACACUGGGACUGAGACACGGCCCAGACUCCUACGGGAGGCAGCAGUGGGGAAUAUUGCACAAUGGGCGAAAGCCUGAUGCAGCAAUGCCGCGUGUGUGAAGAAGGCCUGCGGGUUGUAAAGCACUUUCGAUAGGGAAGAUUAUGACGGUACCUAUAGAAGAAGCACCGGCUAACUCCGUGCCAGCAGCCGCGGUAAUACGGAGGGUGCAAGCGUUAAUCGGAAUUACUGGGCGUAAAGCGCGCGUAGGCGGCUCAGUCAGUCGGAUGUGAAAGCCCCGGGCUCAACCUGGGAAUUGCAUUCGAUACUGCUGAGCUAGAGUAUGGAAGAGGGAAGUGGAAUUCCGGGUGUAGCGGUGAA
rnacentral:rRNA from 1 species